GAUGAACGCUGGCGGCGUGCUUAACACAUGCAAGUCGAACGGAAAGGCCAGUGAUUGCAAUGGUACUCGAGUGGCGAAAGGGUGAGUAACACGUGGGUGAUCUGCCCUGCACUUCGGGAUAAGCCUGGGAAACUGGGUCUAAUACCGGAUAGGACAAUGGUAUGGAUGCCGCUGUGGAAAGAUUUUUCGGGUUGGGAUGAGCUGGCGGCCUAUCAGCUUGUUGGGGGGGUAAUGGCCUACCAAGGCGUCGACGGGUAGCCGGCCUGAGAGGGUGUACGGCCGCACUGGGACUGAGAUACGGCCGAGGCACCUACUGGAGGGAGAAGUGGGGAAGAUUGCACGAUGGGCGCAAGCCUGGUGCAGCGACGCUGCGGGGGGGAUGACGGCCUUCGGGUUGUAGACUCCUUGCGCUAGGGACAAAGCGUAUUUGUGACGGUACCUGGAGAAGAAGCGCCGGCUAACUACGUG
rnacentral:rRNA from 1 species